rnacentral:rRNA from 1 species
UACGAGGGGUCCAAGCGUUGUUCGGAAUCACUGGGCGUAAAGCGGGUGUAGGUGGCUCUACAAGUCAUAUGUGAAAGCCCUGGGCUCAACCCAGGAAGUGCAUGUGAUACUAUAGAGCUUGAGUACGGGAGAGGAUGGCAGAAUUUCUGGUGUAGUGGUGAAAUACGUAGAUAUCAGAAGGAACUCCGGUGGCGAAGGCGGCCAUCUGGCCCAGUACUGACACUCAGACCCGAAAGCGUGGGUAGCAAACAGG